UUUUUCAGGUUGAAACUCGUCUCGUCUCUGUCUAUGAUUUAAAAAGAGAGAGAGAGAGAGAGAGAGAAGGAAAAGAAAAUGGGGAAAAAUAGAGCACACGAAGAGGUCACGGAGAGUGAUAUGUCCUCUGAAUUCCACGUGUGUAAAGUUUCGUUUCUAUGGCGAGCAGGAAGAGAACGGAGAUGAAGGAGGAGAGGUCGAAGAAGAAGGAGGAAGCGGAGGACCGUUAUACCGCGUUCGAGAAGAUUGUUAACCUGUUUGCGCUCCUCUACUACGAAUGAAUCCAUGUGAAAACCUCUGACAAGAGCAAGGUCGUGGAAUUAUCUUCGAAUUUGACGAAAAAGGAAAAAGAGGAAGUGAAGUGAUGCGCAUUUGUAUUUUUUUGUUGUGAGCUUAUUAUAGUGGAAAAAUAUUUGAUAUGAUUGGAGGAAUAUUGAAUCGUUGAGAAUGGAUCGGCUGUUCGAUUGUUCGAAAAGAGUGAUUUUGGAGUGUGUUUUCUUGAAAAUUCUACUAGUCGAGAAAUUUUACAAAGAGAAUAAUGUGAAAUUGAGAGAAGAAGAAAACUCGAGUAUUGAUUUGUUGUCAACGGCGAAACGAAGAAACGAUAAUUGGAUAACAAAAAUUCAAGAAGAAUUUAUUAAUUAUGAUUAAAAAGCAAAGUAUUUCUGUUCCAAUGCCGUUAGACGCUUUAAUUAUUGGAAAAAUAAGAUUAUAAGAGGAAGUUUGAGCUAUUUCUCGUCAGAUUGUGAUGUACAGUAUUCUUAUUAUGAGAGAGAAGAUUGGUAGCCAAUGCAAGAAGUCGUGAUGAAAAUUUCAUGUAUAUCGAUUAUUUGGAAGAAAAGAAGUUUCUAGAUUGUAUUGCAUUUGCUAUCUCUUCAGAAGUAGAUUGAUAGAGAGAGAGAGAGAGAGAGAAAAG